rnacentral:lncRNA from 1 species
GCUAACAUUUUUCAAGACAAAUAUAAAGACAUGAACACAUACAAAGUGAAUAUGGAACAGAAACCUGAUGAAUCAAAUAAAGAAGGCACAUUUUUACCAUUGGCCCCAGAAGAAGAAUUAUUACUAGAACAAUUUAAAAUAAAACCUAACGAGAUAAAAAAUGAAGAUUUAUCACCAGGGCAAUUAUUAGGCCAAGGGGAUUUCAAUUCAGAGACCCCAAUAAAAAAAGAAAAAGAAGAAGAAGAAAUAGUAGUGGAGGAAGAGAUUAUUAGCACUGGAAAACCUACAGAUGGAAAGGCUAAAAAGAGAUUUUCCUGGUUCCGGUAAGAGAUGUACUUUUUAUAUAUGGAUAACAAUAUUCUUAAUAAACAAAACAUUUUAUUUCUCCUGGAAUUUACC